AGUGAACGCUGGCGGUAGGCCUAACACAUGCAAGUCGAACGGCCGCACAGUAAGUGCUUGCUCUUACGGGUGGCGAGUGGCGGACGGGUGAGGAAUACAUCGGAAUCUACUUUUUCGUGGGGGAUAACGUAGGGAAACUUACGCUAAUACCGCAUACGACCUCCGGGUGAAAGCAGGGGACCUUCGGACCUUGCGCGUUUGAAUGAGCCGCUGUCGGAUUAGCUAGUGGGCGGGGUAAAGGCCCACCAAGGCGACGAUCCGUAGCUGGUCAGAGAGGAUGGUCCGCCACACUGUAUCUGAGACACGGUCCAGACUCCUGCGGGAGGCAGCAGUGGGGAAUAUUGGACGAUGCGCGCGAGCCUGAUCCAGCCAUACCGCGUGGGUGAAGAAGGCCUUCUGGUUGUAAAGCCCUUUUGUUGGGAGAGAAAAGCAGCAGGUUAAUACCCCGCUGUUCUGACGGUACCCAAAGAAGAAGCACCGGCUAACUUCGUG
rnacentral:rRNA from 1 species